ensembl:lncRNA
GUACGCAUACAGAUGUAUAUAACUGCAUGAAGAAAGGGCCGGCAGGUCGCCUGGUGGUUAGAGUGUAGAGGUGGCAGGUAGUCUAGUGGUUAGAGUGUAGAGGUGGCAGGUAGCCUAGUGGUUAGAGUGUAGAGGUGGCAGGUAGUCUAGUGGUUAGAGUGUAGAGGUGGCAGGUAGCCGAGUGGAUAGAGUGUAGAGGUGGCAGGUAGCCUAGUGGUUAGAGUGUAGAGGAGGCAGGUAGCCUAGUGGUUAGAGUGUAGAGGUGGCAGGGUAGCCUAGUGGUUAGAGUAUAGAGGUGGCAGGUAGCCUAGUGGUUAGAGUGUAGAGGUGGCAGGGUAGCCUAGUGGUUAGAGUGUAGAGGUGGCAGGUAGCCUAGUGGUUAGAGUGUAGAGGUGGCAGGGUAGCCUAGUGGUUAGAGUGUAGAGGCGGCAGGUAGCCUAGUGGUUAGAGUGUAGAGGCGGCAGGUAGCCUAGUGGUUAGAGUGUAGAGGUGGCAGGUAGCCUAGUGGUUAGAGUGUAGAGGUGGCAGGUAGCCUAGUGGUUAGAGUGUAGAGGUGGCAGGUAGCCUAGUGGUUAGAGUGUAGAGGUGG